rnacentral:rRNA from 1 species
UACGUAGGGACCAAGCGUUGUUCGGAUUUACUGGGCGUAAAGCGCACGUAGUCGGCUUUGCAAGUCGGGUGUGAAAUCCCCGGGCUCAACCUGGGAAUUGCAUUCGAGACUGAAUAGCUAGGGUGCGGUAGAGGGAAGCGGAAUUUCCGGUGUAGCGGUGAAAUGCGUAGAUAUCGGAAGGAACAUCAGUGGCGAAAGCGGCUUCCUGGACCAGCACCGACGUUCAGGCACGAAAGCGUGGGGAGCAAACAGG